CGGUUGAUCCCGCCGGAGGCCAUUGCUAUCGGAGUCCGAUUUAGCCAUGCUAGUUGUACGAGUUCAGACUCGUAGCAUAUAGCUCAGUAACACGUGGCCAAACUACCCUAUGGACAGCGACACUCUCGGGAAACUGAGGCCAAUCGCGGAUACGGUUCUCACGCUGGAGUGCAGAGAACCGGAAAUGUUCCGGCGCUGUAGGAUGUGGCUGCGGCCGAUUAGGUAGAUGGUGGGGUAACGGCCCACCAUGCCGAUAAUCGGUACGGGUUGUGAGAGCAAGAGCCCGGAGACGGUAUCUGAGACAAGAUACCGGGCCCUACGGGGCGCAGCAGGCGCGAAACCUUUACACUGCACGACAGUGCGAUAGGGGGACUCCAAGUGCGAGGGCAUAGAGCCCUCGCUUUUCUGUACCGUAAGGUGGUACAGGAACAAGGACUGGGCAAGACCGGUGCCAGCCGCCGCGGUAAUACCGGCAGCCCGAGUGAUGGCCGAUCUUAUUGGGCCUAAAGCGUCCGUAGCUGGCCGCGCAAGUCCAUCGGAAAAUCCACCCGCUCAACGGGUGGGCGUCCGGUGGAAACUGCGUGGCUUGGGACCGGAAGGCGCGACGGGUACGUCCGGGGUAGGAGUGAAAUCCCGUAAUCCUGGACGGACCGCCGAUGGCGAAAGCACGUCGCGAAGACGGAUCCGACAGUGAGGGACGAAAGCUAGGGUCUCGAACCGGAUUAGAUACCCGGGUAGUCCUAGCCGUAAA
rnacentral:rRNA from 1 species